GGGGGAUAAGCUUCAUUGUCGAGAGGGAAAUAGCCCAGACUACCAUUUAAGGCCCCUAAAUAUUUACUAAGUGAUAAAGGAUGUAGUGAUACAUUGACAACCAGGAGGUUGGCUUAGAAGCAGUCAUUCCUUUAAAAAGUGCGUAAUAGCUUACUGGUCAAGUGUUGUUGCGCCAAAAAUGAAAGGGACUAAGUAAAUUGCCGAAGGUGUAGAAUAUGCUUAUAGUGUAUUGGUAGAAGAGCGUUCCAUUUUAUUGGAAGCAACAGUGUAAACAGUUGUGGAUGAUAUGGAAGUGAGAAUGUCGGCUUGAGUAACGAAAACAAUAGUGGAAAUCUAUUGCUCCGUAAACCUAAGGUUUCCUUUGCAAGGUUCGUCUACAAAGGGUUAGUCAGGUCCUAAAAUGUAGUUGAUAAAUGAAAUUGAUGGAAAACAGGUUGAUAUUCCUGUACCUUAUUUUAUUUUGUUGAGAGUGACGAAGGAGACUUUAUCAUCCAUAGAUUGGUUGUUUUGGUUUAAUUUAUUGAAGCGUUUGAGAAUUAUUAUAAAAAAUAGUUCUAGCUUAAAUUUAGAAUACGAGAGACAUUAAGGUGUCAAAAGUGAAUAAUUUCAUACUUCCAAGAAAAACUCAUGCAGCAUAUAUAAGUAAAAUAAGCCUGUACCGUAAACCGACACAGGUGGGUGGGUAGAACAUACUAAGGAGCGCGAGAUAACUCUUUCUAAGGAACUCGGCAAAAUGACCCUGUAACUUCGGGAUAAAGGGUGCCUUUUUUUAAGGUCGCAGUGAAAAGAUCCAUGGGACUGUUUAUCAAAAACACAAGUCUCUGCCAAGUUUAAAAACGAUGUAUAGAGGCUGACGCCUGCCCAGUGCUGGAAGGUUAAAGAAAUUGGUUAGCUUAUGCAAAGCUAGUGACUGAAGCCCCAGUGAACGGCGGCGCUAACUAUGAGCGUCCUAAGGUAGCGAAAUUCCUUGUCAGGUAAGUUCUGACCCGCACGAAAGGCGUAACGAUAUGGAUGCUGUCUCAGAAAGAGACUCGGUGAAAUAGAAUUGACUGUGAAGAUGCGGUCUACCUGCGGUUGGACAGAAAGACCCUAUGAAGCUUUACUGUAGCCUGAUAUUGUUUUUGAAUUUUCUUUGCGCAGUAUAGGUGGGAGGAUAUGAAGUGCUUUUUUGGAAGUUAUGGAUCCUAAAGUUGAGAUACCACUCUUAGAAAAUUUGGAAUCUAAUGGCAUUUAAAUAUAAUGCUUGACAGUUUCAGGCGGGCAGUUUUACUGGGGCGGUAGCCUCCUAAAAGGUAACGGAGGCGUACAAAGGUUUUUUCAAUUUGGGUGGAAAUCAAAUGUAGAGUGUAAAGAUAUAAGAAAGCUUAACUGUAAGACAUAGCUGUCAAACAGAGACGAAAGUCGGUCUUAGUGAUCCGGCAAUGCUGAGUGGAAAGGUUGUCGCUAACCGAUAAAAGUUACUCUAGGGAUAACAGGCUGAUCUCCCCCAAGAGUUCACAUCGACGGGGAGGUUUGGCACCUCGAUGUCGGCUCAUCGCAUCCUGGAGCAGUAGUAUGUUCCAAGGGUUGGGCUGUUCGCCCAUUAAAGCGGUACGUGAGCUGGGUUCAGAACGUCGAGAGACAGUUCGGUCCAUAUCCGCCGUGGGCGUUAGAGUAUUGAAAGUAGCUUUUUUUAGUACGAGAGGACCGAAAAAGACAUACCACUAAUGUACCAGUUUUCGUGCCAAUGGCACAUGCUGGGUAGUUAUGAAUGGAGUG
rnacentral:rRNA from 1 species